rnacentral:miRNA from 1 species
UGGGUGUACUUGCGGAUGAAUG